rnacentral:rRNA from 1 species
UACGUAGGGUGCGAGCGUGUCCGGAAUUUAUUGGGCGUAAAGGAGCUCGUAGGCGGUCUGUCGCGUCUGCUGUGAAAACCCGAGGCUCAACCUCGGGCCUGCAGUGGGUACGGGCAGACUAGAGUGGCGGUAGGGAGAAUGGAAUUCCUGGUGUAGCGGUGAAAUGCGCAGAUAUCAGGAGGAACACCGGUGGCGAAGGCGGGUCUCUGGGCAUGUCCUGACGUGAGGAGCGAAA